rfam:Stegodyphus mimosarum contig25545, whole genome shotgun sequence.
AUGCUCUGGGUUCUCUUCAUCAAUCGAGCUAAUCUUUCGCCUUUUACUAAAGAUUACCGUGGAGAGGAACAUUACAAUGAGCCUAAAUUGAAUUUUUGGAAUCCCACCUAAAGGUGGGGU